GAUGAACGCUAGCUACAGGCUUAACACAUGCAAGUCGAGGGGCAGCAUUUCAGUUUGCUUGCAAACUGGAGAUGGCGACCGGCGCACGGGUGAGUAACACGUAUCCAACCUGCCGAUAACUCGGGGAUAGCCUUUCGAAAGAAAGAUUAAUACCCGAUGGUAUAAUCAGACCGCAUGGUCUUGUUAUUAAAGAAUUUCGGUUAUCGAUGGGGAUGCGUUCCAUUAGGCAGUUGGUGAGGUAACGGCUCACCAAACCUUCGAUGGAUAGGGGUUCUGAGAGGAAGGUCCCCCACAUUGGAACUGAGACACGGUCCAAACUCCUACGGGAGGCAGCAGUGAGGAAUAUUGGUCAAUGGGCGCAGGCCUGAACCAGCCAAGUAGCGUGAAGGAUGACUGCCCUAUGGGUUGUAAACUUCUUUUAUAUGGGAAUAAAGUUUUCCACGUGUGGAAUUUUGUAUGUACCAUAUGAAUAAGGAUCGGCUAACUCCGUGCCAGCAGCCGCGGUAAUACGGAGGAUCCGAGCGUUAUCCGGAUUUAUUGGGUUUAAAGGGAGCGUAGGUGGACAGUUAAGUCAGUUGUGAAAGUUUGCGGCUCAACCGUAAAAUUGCAGUUGAUACUGGCUGUCUUGAGUACAGUAGAGGUGGGCGGAAUUCGUGGUGUAGCGGUGAAAUGCUUAGAUAUCACGAAGAACUCCGAUUGCGAAGGCAGCUCACUGGACUGCAACUGACACUGAUGCUCGAAAGUGUGGGUAUCAAACAGGAUUAGAUACCCUGGUAGUCCACACAGUAAACGAUGAAUACUCGCUGUUUGCGAUAUACAGUAAGCGGCCAAGCGAAAGCAUUAAGUAUUCCACCUGGGGAGUACGCCGGCAACGGUGAAACUCAAAGGAAUUGACGGGGGCCCGCACAAGCGGAGGAACAUGUGGUUUAAUUCGAUGAUACGCGAGGAACCUUACCCGGGCUUAAAUUGCAUUUGAAUAUAUUGGAAACAGUAUAGCCGUAAGGCAAAUGUGAAGGUGCUGCAUGGUUGUCGUCAGCUCGUGCCGUGAGGUGUCGGCUUAAGUGCCAUAACGAGCGCAACCCUUAUCUUUAGUUACUAACAGGUCAUGCUGAGGACUCUAGAGAGACUGCCGUCGUAAGAUGUGAGGAAGGUGGGGAUGACGUCAAAUCAGCACGGCCCUUACGUCCGGGGCUACACACGUGUUACAAUGGGGGGUACAGAAGGCAGCUACCUGGUGACAGGAUGCUAAUCCCAAAAGCCUCUCUCAGUUCGGAUCGAAGUCUGCAACCCGACUUCGUGAAGCUGGAUUCGCUAAUAAUCGCGCAUCAGCCAUGGCGCGGUGAAUACGUUCCCGGGCCU
rnacentral:rRNA from 1 species